rnacentral:miRNA from 2 species
UGAUUGUCACCUUUUUGAGUAGA